AGUGAUUGAGAAGUUAAAAGGAGAUAAUUUUUAUCAUUGAAAGAUCAAAAUAGAGCUUUAUUAGAAUCUUUGGACCUUUGAGACAUUGUAGAUGAAAGUGAAGAGCCUCCAAGUAUACAUGCAGAUACUAAAGAGAAGAAGGACUUCAAAAGACGUGAAAAGAAGGCUUUUUGUAUACAAUUACCACCAAUUUAAAUGAAGCCAACUUUUCUCAUAUUAUCUCUUGUAAAGAACCCACAAAAGCAUAGAAGACUCUUUGCAAUAUAUAUAAAAGCAAGAACUUGUCCAACAUCAUCUUUAUAAGG
rnacentral:lncRNA from 1 species